AACGCGAAGAACCUUACCAAGUCUUGACAUCCCACUGACAGAGUAUGUAAUGUACUUUCCCUUCGGGGCAGUGGCGACAGGUGGUGCAUGGUUGUCGUCAGCUCGUGUCGUGAGAUGUUGGGUUAAGUCCCGCAACGAGCGCAACCCUUAUUUCCAGUAGCCAGCAGUAAGAUGGGCACUCUGGAGAGACUGCCAGGGAUAACCUGGAGGAAGGUGGGGAUGACGUCAAAUCAUCAUGCCCCUUAUGACUUGGGCGACACACGUGCUACAAUGGCGUAAACAAAGAGAAGCGAGAGCGUGAGCUUAAGCAAAUCCCAAAAAUAACGUCUCAGUUCGGACUGUAGUCUGCAACCCGACUACACGAAGCUGGAAUCGCUAGUAAUCGCGGUAUCAGAGAUGCCGCGGUGAAUACGUUCCCCGGGGUCUUUGUACACACCG
rnacentral:rRNA from 1 species